UUCAUGAGUCGUAGAUAUUUUCUUCUCUCUCUUCAUCUUUUUGUGUCUCUCUGGCCACAACAUUACACUUAAUUCACUUCUGCCUAAAGCCUUCUUCACCUCGACACUUCUCCUUUAUCGGGAAACUGCGAUUACGCAUCGAGAUCUUCAUAUCUCAUCGCUCUUCCUCUAAAUUCACAUGUAAAACAUUGUUGCCUUUGUUCAUUAGGUGCUGAAAGAAUCUCCAAGACGCAGGUGAUUCUCGUCUGCUUUCUCUACUUUGGCUUUUGUGAUUUUCGAAUUGUUCAUAUGAUUUUGUGGUUUGAUUGGAUUAUUUCAUUGAUCUGUUGGAGGAGAGUUUGACUUGGCUUAUGUUGGACGUACAUGCAUUACAUUCUGUUGUUUUCAGCUAGUUUUUGUUGUGAGAAGUUAUUCACACGUUUUCGUGUAUUUUCGUAUACAAUCUCUCAUCUCUGUGAUGUUUUUGUCAUAAGCGAAUGAUCCUUUGUUUCGUUUUGGUUUCUAUUUGAUUAGCUGCUUUUGAUUUCUUGGGUAUAGUUUCUGGUAUUAAUUUAAUCUGCUUUCUAUUUGAUAUCCAGCCAAUCGAAAUUGUGAAAGGGUUUAAGGUUCUUGAAGCCAAAAUCUACUGCUCCACAAUCUAUAAGGUGAAAUAAAGUAGAAAUAUGAUUCUGUUGAACUCAUAGUGCUAAUUGAUGGUGUUUGAUUUUAUGGUUUUAGUUCUUCGUGCGAUUCCUUGCUUGAUACCAAUCCUGUCAUAUUACCAAGGGAUAUAUAAUUAUUGAAGCUAUGGCGACUGUCUCCACUAUACAUAAGGUACAAUUUAUAAAUUCACCACAUUCAUAGUUUUGAUCAUCAAAUUCAUCAGAAACGUUUGUUUUCAAUUCGUUUUCAGCUUCUCAUGGUUAUGCAAAUUACUGUGAAUUUAUAAUUUGUGAUUCUGCAUCUCUUUGUCUGAUUGAACUUUGCUUGUUUUCACCUAGUAUUAUGAUGAAUAAUAAAUUAUUUCUAGACAUAUGGUUUGACGGACAUGUCUUCACUUUUACUAUGAAUUAUCUUCCCCACCCCCAAUAAAUGGCGAUUUUAAUAUUCAAUUUUACUGAAGCAUCAAUUUGGACAUGUCUCAUGUGUAUCAGUUUUAUCUUUAUCUAACAAGCAUUAGUAGGGAGUCUAGGGACUACAGCUGCGACAUCAAUUACCACAAUAUUAGCUCGAGCUAACCUUAACAUUUAUUGCUUCUGCCUUCAGCCAUUAUUACAAUGAUCAUGAGACUAUGUACAUAAAAAUCUCUAGUCUUUCCGUAUGAUCUUAAUGAUCAGGAUGGCCAUAUUGUGAACCACAGCAUUUCUAGUUCAUUUGAGCCAUUCUCUCUUUGGAUUGUAUGACAACAUUGGCAUAAAACUGGUAAACAACUUCUGUGUGCAACGUGUCAUUGCUGCAGUUGAAGCCUGUUUCAAGUGUCAAUUUUAUGGUCAUUUGAUAAGACAAACAAUGGCUGAAACCAUUUUUAGGGUGUGUGUGUGUGUGUGUGUGUUAAUUAGGGAUGCAUAGAGCUAACCCGAAAUUCAUCACAUCUUUUGGUGCACCAUUUGUUUGCUUUUGUGGCUGGCUUAGCUCAAGAUUAAUAGGUAUAAAAGGAUAUCCAUCGUUGAUGCUGUGCAUAUUCUGGGGAACCCUGUUUUCUUCGCUUGUGCUUCCCGGGCCAUAAACCUAAAUCAGAACUUGCUUUAAUUUAGACCGAAAUUUACUUUGACAGUUGACUUCUGGCCUACAUUUUAUUCAUCAUACAAGUUUGAUACUUAGUCGUAGUCUGUCAAUACCUUUUUCUUCAAAUCCUCAUUUUCCUUGGCAACAAGAUUCAUCUUCUUGUGAAGUUCCAUAUUCUCUUGAUGGAUGACGUUUCCCUGUAACAAGAUCAAUGAUGCUAUCCCCAAUUCUAAACAUGAAUAUAAAAUAGAAACUCUAGCUUGUUAAUUGUCUCAAAAGUGGACCUUCUGAUUUAAGUCGUUGAUUUGAGUAGUCAGAGUUUGUUCCUGCGAGAGAUAAAUAAAUUAAAUUAAAACUUAUAUGAGAACCUGUCCAUAUAGUUAUGCUAGACAUGAUUGUUACUUGCCUUUUUCACACGAACGCCUUUCAAGCUCAUCUCUAGUUGAUUUUCCAGAUUUUGGAGGUCUCUGAUGUUCAAUCCAGCAAGUUCUUCUCCCAAAAGCUUCCUGCAACCGCAACAGAAGAGGCAAGUCAUUUCAGAUAAAAGAUGAGAGGUAUCAGCAUUUUUUAGGAGGCCCUGUGCCUAUUGUAGUCCUACUAACUGAAUUUCAUUAUACACAUGCCUCUUCUACAUUUCUUUUAAAUCAAGAUGCUUUUGAUGUAUGCACAUUUUUAACGCAUGUUCUGUGUCUCAAGUUCGUAUGACAAUAUAUGCAUAUGCAUCCUCCAUAUGUUAACUGUUUCGUGUUUCUAUAACAAGACGCACAUUGCAGAAUUAUUUAGAGUGGGAUUGAGAUGAUAUAUGCCGUCUACAUGACAAUCGCAAAGAACAAACUGUAGAUACUGUAAUCCCCAAUGUGUGGGGCAGUAUAUAUGUUCUACAAUAUCAUCUGCCUUUUAGUUGCCUACAAUUACUUUGCUGCUCAUAUCUCUUUUCUAGCUCUCUAUCAAUAAUAACGCAGUUUCAACUGUAAAAAGUGUCUGCAUUGGAAUUUCAAUCAAAUACUACGUGUAACACAUCUAGUGGGAUUACCUAUGGCUUUCUUGCAAAUACUGUAGUUGUUGCCUCAAGUUUUCCGCUUCCCUUUGCCACACCUAGCCAAAAUUGACAAAGCAGGAUUAGUUCACACUUACUAUAAUCAAAUUGCCAGAGAAUUUCAACCAGGCUAUCGUAAUCACAUUAGUCGGAGAUAUCUUGAACUCAGAUGCAUGCAAAUCUUCUCUGGUUCAAAAAAUUGUUCUGUCAUCAUUGCUGGAGGAAUAGUAUAUCUUUUGGUUGUUAAUGUAAUGGAUGGGUAUCGUUGUUUACUGUAUAGCUGUAUCUUGCGUUUCCUGUUGAAUAUAAUCUUUACCUUGUCACCCCACCAAGAAAGAGGACUGCAACCUAGCUGGUUUUGGAACGUGGAACAUUGGGAAUACUUUCUCAUCCUCGUACAUUUUUUAAUCUCAAAUCUUAACACCACAGGGUGGAUUUUAGGAAACCUGUGUUUCAUAUGUGGAUUCGUACACCUAGGAACGGUCUUUUCAAUUGUGUAGAAGGAAGAAAAUAGGAGCCCAGACACACCCAAAAUGGUAGUAACAUCUGAAGAGAGCCAUCUACAUAUUCAUUAAUCAUCAUAAACCUGUGUAACUAUGUUAGAACAGUGUACAGAGCUUAAAGUAUUUAUUAUUCUAAUACUCGGAUAAGGAAAGCAACUGCAGCUAAAUCGUCUUAACUAGGAUGUGAAUACGACUUGACUUAGUAGUACAGGUGUUAUAAUUACUUGUUGACUAUGUCUGUUUUGAGGCAUAGUGAAUUCAGAUAUGCCAAAUGUGAUGAAUGCAAGUUUGUCGAAAGGUGAAACUGAUGAGUGAUGAUUAGCUUCAUUGAUGCAGUCUGUGAAGUGACCUAGUUCUCGUGGAGUUUCAGUGGACCUAAUCUUUGCCCAGGUUUCAUAUUCAUAGUAUGUGGUCCUUCCUUGGGGCUUUCUUUGCUUACUGAAAAAUUCUGUACUACAACUUCAACCUAGUUACUUAGCUAUUUCAGGAGCAACCACAGUCCACUAAUAGCUCUUCUGUUUAAAAGUUUAUAAGCUCCUUCAAAGUUUUCGGCAAAAUAAGCUUUCCAAAAAUUAUGUUUCUCUACCACAGUUUAUUUUCUCUCAUUAUCUUAUAAGCAAUAAUCAUUUUACAAAAAUAACUCAAUUAUGAUUUGUUAUUUUUAUAAUAUAUCAUUCCAAUGUUAUCCAUCUACACUUUUCUCUCUCUCAUAUAUAAGCUCAAUUAUAUAAAUACUUUGACAAUGUAUAAGCUCUUGGAGCUUAUAAGCUUAGCCAAACUCCCUCUUAAUUUCCACUCUUCUAAAAGUGAUAAGAGGUAAAUCUUGACGACUUUUUGGAUCAGCCAUGGUUCAGUUAACAAGGGUCAACGAGUUCCUUCACUCAAGGCAACCUAAGUGUGAGAGAGCUUAUUUGAAAGUGGACUACCCUAAGGAGUAGCUACCCAUGAGAGUGCUGAAAAUAUGUUAGAAAUUUACAUUGAAAUAUAUAAGAUACAAAAAAAUGUGAAAUGCAUUUUUGCUAUAUUACUAAGAGGGUGUUUGGCUGAGUUUAUAAGCUCCUCAAAAAAGCUUAUAAGCUGUUUAGGAGCUUAUAAGCUCUUUCAAAGUGUAUGGCAAAAUAAGCUCCUAAACAGAUUAUAAGUUCUAAAAAUAAGCUCCAAGAGCUUAUAAGUUCCCAAAAAAAUAAGUUUCUCUAUCCUAACUUAUUCUUUUAUAAUCUCAUAUGCAACAAUCAUUUUACAAUUAUUUUUCAACUAUAAUUUAUUAUUUUCAUCAUAUAUCAUUCAAGUUCAUUUUUCUUCGAUUUUCUCUCUUUAAAAAAAUAUUCUCUCUCUCAAGCAAAAAAUUCUCUCUCAAGCAAAUAAUUCUAUCUCUAGCUUAUAAUCUCAAUUAUCCAAACACUUUGACAACUUAUAAGAUCUUAAAAAUUAUAUCUUAUAAGCUCUUGAAACAUCUUAUAAUCUCCAAGAGCUUAUAAGCUCUUUAAAAUAAAUAGCAUUUCAAGUGACUUUUUUUUCAGACAAGAGCUGCGAAUGUUCAUUAAGGCCUUUCAACAGGUUCUUAACCUACACAAAGCUUUCAUGAAGAAUGAAUGGCAAGUAAAGUGUUGGAGAUUCCCAAGACUUGUUUAAAGGGAAUCAGAUGCCUAAGGGGGUGUUUCUUUUGAGGAUUAACUUAGAUAAUAAAAAGUAUAGGCUAAUCCAUUUUAUCCUAAGAGAAUCCACAUCGGGUUGGCCCAUUCGCCAGCUCGAGUUAGCCUUGGGGGUGAGUUAGCCGAUGUAGGUGGGGGUGUCUCGAGCUGGGGUGCGAUCAUGAGUCAGGUGCGAUGGGGUGAAAAUUCGGGCUUAUGUUUCACACUCGCCCAUUUAAAAAAAUAAAAAAUUUAAAUUUAAAUGCAGAAACAGUAACCUGCGUCCCAAACAGUAAAAAUUCUUUCCCCCCCCCUCCCACCCUUCUUAUUUAAUCUAUAAAUCCUCCUACUCCAAUUCUAUUCAACACAAUUGUACUGACUUUCUUUCUCUCAAAUCUUCCUUAAUUUUUAUCUUCAUUUCAUAAUUGUUCUUUCUCUUAAACGAAUUCCAACAAUUCCUAUUUAUUUUCUACAAAAUUUUGUUCAUGAAUUCGUUGAGAAUGGCAUCAGAACAACAAGAAAUACAUAUGGAUACGAUGAGAAUGACAUCAGAGUAGCAAGAAAUACAUGCGCGAAGGGUGGUUGAAAUUUUCGCACGAAAGGGAGCCAGAGAUGCCUGAUUUUCAUGUUUUAAAUUUAUGUAAUUUUAAAUUUAUGUCAUUUAAAUUUAUGUAAUUUAAUUUAAAUUUAAGUAAUUGACUUAUUUAAAUUUGUGUAUUUAAAUUAAAUCAAUAAUCAAUAUUCAAAACUCAAAACUAAUUCAUAUGAGUCAACAUGAUAAGCUAACCCAAUACAGCGUAUGGUUCAUAAGUGGUUCUGGAAUAUGGAUUUGACUCAAUCAAUAUGGAUGCUCUAAGAUGUAUUCAAAUAUUGGGAUAUUUCAAGGCUUUUGAUAUUCUUUGUUAUUUGAAUUAAUUUUGUUUAAUUCAUAUCUCAUUGAAAUACUGAUUGAAGAUAUCUUAAUAAUAAAGAUAAAAAUAUUCAAUUACGUAAUUUAUCAAUUAUGAAAAAAUAAAUAGUGUG
rnacentral:lncRNA from 1 species